rnacentral:rRNA from 1 species
ACCGCGUGCGGGAAUGAAGGCCUUCGGGUUGUAAAGCUCUNUUUGUAGGGGAAGAUAAUGACUGUACCCNNUAAGAAANNUAAGGUCCGGCUAACUUCGUGGCCAGNCCAGNNCCGCGGUAAUACCGAAGGGACCUACGUAGNNUUCGGGAAUUACUGGGCGUAAAGCGCGCGUAGGCCGUUGAGUUAGUUAAUUGUGAAAUCCCAAAGCUUAACUUUGGAACUGCAAUUAAAACUGCUCGACUAGAGUUUGAUAGAGGAANAGCGGAAUACAUAGUGUAGAGGUGAAAUUCGUAGAUAUUAUGUAGAACACCAGUUGCGAAGGCGCGGCUUUCUGGGUCAACACUGACGCUGAGGCGCGAAAGUAUGGGUAGCAAAGAGGAUUAGAUACCCUCGUAGUCCAUACC